rnacentral:ncRNA from 1 species
ACCUCAUCCAGAGGGGCAGAGGGAUACGGCCCGACGAAGCCCCGGCAACCACCCGUGCGUUCGAUGACGAGCCGCGCGGACAGGUGCCAAUUCCGUCCCCGCCGCAGGGUGCGAUGCGGGGAAAGAUGAGAG